rnacentral:rRNA from 1 species
GCAGACACCAUGAGUCUUGUGCGUGAAAUACGCGCCACGAUCCAGGCCGCGGCUUACAGCCAACUUGGUUCCGAACGCGAGCCAGAGCGGAUGGAACGAACAGAAGCGUCGGCAUCUCGUUACUAAUUCCUCCGGACUGGGUACAACUCCCCACGGAACUGACGAGACGGGCGAAACCAGCAUUACGUGCCGAUCCUCUG